CCUACGGGUGGCUGCAGUGGGGAAUAUUGGACAAUGGGCGAAAGCCUGAUCCAGCCAUGCCGCGUGUGUGAAGAAGGCCUUCGGGUUGUAAAGCACUUUCAGUGGGGAAGAAAGCCUUGGGGCUAAUACCCUCGAGGAAGGACAUCACCCACAGAAGAAGCACCGGCUAACUCCGUGCCAGCAGCCGCGGUAAUACGGAGGGUGCGAGCGUUAAUCGGAAUUACUGGGCGUAAAGCGCGCGUAGGCGGUCUGAUAAGCCGGUUGUGAAAGCCCCGGGCUCAACCUGGGAACGGCAUCCGGAACUGUCAGGCUAGAGUGCAGGAGAGGAAGGUAGAAUUCCCGGUGUAGCGGUGAAAUGCGUAGAGAUCGGGAGGAAUACCAGUGGCGAAGGCGGCCUUCUGGACUGAUACUGACGCUGAGGUGCGAAAGCGUGGGUAGCAAACAGGAUUAGAUACCCGAGUAGUC
rnacentral:rRNA from 1 species